GAUCCGUGGAAGACCUCUGCAUAUUUCAAGAGAAUAUGCAGAGGUCUUCCACUUUUUUACGCGUG
rnacentral:misc_RNA from 1 species